UAAGAUUCUUCAUAUAGAUUGGCUUGGAAGUACACAAAUAAAUGAUGACUAACACUGGCAGUCACUGCAUCCCUAUGACAAAAGACACAUUUUCUAACCUAUUGCUUAUUAUGUUUCUUUAGGCCUAAGUUGGAUCCCUCCAACAACGAGACCGAGCUUUGCGGUGUAAUCAUCGACCUCCUUAAGACUGCAUCCUUGUGAAGAUGAAGAUGAAGAAAUGAAUCAGGAUACAGUGAAAUCAGCAAAAGAAAUACUUCGAAUUACUCUAUAUCAACAUGAUUGUAGAACAAAGCUUCUGUGAUCAAUGACAGCUUUUGAAUACAAAAUCCUCUGUUUUACAUCCCCUGUUUCUAUUUCUCUAUCACAGCAUGUAUCAGCUACACAAUUGCAGAGCAUCCAUUGAUGAUUGCUCUCUAAGCUUUCUCUCUCUUUAUUUCUUCUCUCUACUCUUUCUAUAUAUGCUCAGCCUUCAUCGAGGAGGAAGAAGACUACUUAAAGAACGGAAAACAGAAUACAGCUCAUAAAAGAAAAACAGAAUUCAACUAACUGUUUCUUCAUUUGUUUUUCCCACUUUCAGCUGAAUAACCACACACGAUCUAGUUUAGAUCUGUUAUAACUUGGUGAUCCAUGUCAAUCUUCAUCUCAGGCUUCUUCUUCAUUGAUGUCAAUCCAAGUUUGUCUUCACCACGAGUUCUCCACCGUUGAUCACCAGCUCUUUGUUGCUUUUCUGUCUUUUGUUUUUCCUCACGUGUUCUUUCUCUAUCUGCUGAAUUUAUAGUAACUGAUGAUUGAGAAGACUCAGUUCCUUUAUAUUUAACAAUCCUGAGUCAAAAGACACAUUUUCAGCCUGUGUUUAGUACGUAGGCCUAAGUUCGAUCCCUUCAACAACGAGACCGCACUUCCUGGUCUUAUUAACGACCUCCUUAAGACUGCAUUCUAGAGUUCCGUCGUCUCCGUUCUCGUUGUAGAACUCCCCCAUCUUGAUCUCCAGCCACCCAUCUCCACGCUCCCUCAUUGACCGGCGCUCCCCUUCCCGGGGGUCAAGGAUCAUGGUUGACCAUUCUCUGUGCCCGUGGCUUUCGACUGACACGCUCGACUCCGCAGGCCCAUCAAAUCCACCUCUAUACUCUCCGAAUCGGAAGACGAGGUAAGCCGCAUACCUUGUUUCGGUCGAGAGCAUUUUCGUUUCAAUUCUUCCUACAAUGUGAAACCAGUCAACGCACAAGAGCUGAGCCACUUCACCGAACCUGUUAGAAAGAAGAGCAAUGGAAAAGCAAAUUGAUGGAUCAAGAAGGUUAUUCAUGCAGAAAGAGCUAUUUGUUUGUAAAAUGAAUGAUUUAAAGAACAUAUUUCUUAAUUAUUUUCUUGUCCGUAGAAUUCAGUCGACGACAAAAGCAAUUUUCAUAGAUCAAUAAUUUCAAACGAUAUAAGUGAAAAUGAAAUUCUAGGCAUGCGAGAGUGGAGAAAAAUAGUGUAUGUUUAAUUUAACUUGAUGAUAGAAGAUAAAAGGGAGAAGCGUAAAGGACCUGGAAUUUGGUUCAGCAAUCCAUGUCCAGUAACGCUGGUCAAUGGCCAGCUCCCUUGCUCCGAUCAUAAAGCAUUUCUUUCCACUCUUCUUAUCCAAUGAGGAGAUCAACACGACAGCAUGAUGUCAUAGAUAAUUAGAGAUUUAAUACUAGUAAUUCGAUGUUAAUCGAGGGGGAGGGGGGAGUAUUGCGAAAAAGAAAGUUUGUCUUCAUAGACGUCCUCUAUACUUCAGGACGCACAAACAAGCCGGGACACUUCACAGCCUCACAAGACAGCUAGAGCGGAAUGCAUCCAUAGCAUCGGCUGCAGCAGAAAAGAAAUUUUGCAGGCGUCCAUUGUACUUUGGUCGGUGAAAUUCAGUGACAAAAUCCUAAUAAUGUUUAGUAUAAUCUUGUACAAACCUCGGUUCAAUCUGAGGGUCCUCAAGAUUUGUCAAGAGGCCUUGCUUUCAUACUAGACAGUAUUAUUCAAUCAAAAAAAAAAAGAAAACUACAGGAUUAUUCUACAAUCAGGCUGUUAUCAGUUUAUGCAUUUUGGUCAGUGAAAUUCAGUGAAGAAAUCCUAAUAAUGUUCAGUAUAAUCUUUUGCGAACCUCAGUUUGCUCUGGGGCUCACCAACAUUUUCGACCCACCAAAAAGAAAAACUAAACUUAAACUAAGGCAUAUUUCUACCAUCCAGCUCUUGUCAAUUUAUCUCAAGCACCGAUAAUGUCUACAAAAAUUUACAAUACUUUCGGACCCAAAAAAAAAAAAAAACGAGCAUGCCUGAUCUAAGUUCAUAGCCUCACUCAUCGUUUCCCAUGGUCAAUUACUUCAAUGACCACUUCAUAAUUCAAUCUUCUUAAAAGCCUCCCAAGAAGAGUAAAAUGGCUUUACCUUAGAUAAUCCUGCUCUAUCUAUGCAGAUUCACCACACCCACUCAACUAUGCCAAAAAAAAGUUGCAUUGAAGAUCAAAGCAUCACACUGUAAUCGAGCGCUAACCAUGUUCCGGUCGCAGAGGUGGAAGUAGAGUGACUUCUUGCGCGAUAUCUGAGGGAGGACGACACCAUCGCGGUGGUCGGGCGGCAAGAAUUGGCGCCACACCUCAUCUGAAUCUGCGAUCGAUCUGAAGAAGGUGGAGACAGACGCUACCCGGCAAGCGUCUCGUGGAGUUGUGGCUGUGAGAAAGAUGAUCCGGGAGAUCACGUCGUUGCCCAGAAGCGAGAAGUCCCACAUCCCUUUUCCUCUCCGUUCUCUCGUUUCUUGCCUUGGAUUUCGCUGGCUUUGUAAGGAAGAUCAAAAGAUAAAGCUGUUGAUUGGGUCACGCCAAAGUCAAUGGGAGAUUAAUUAAGAGAUAAAUGCAUGCGCCAACCCCCAAAAAUAUCCUCACCACAACUUUUUUUUAGAAAAUAUAAUUAAAUUUUAAAACUCGCCGACUUGGUGCCACGCAGUCCCCUUUGUAUAAUUUGACUGGCGGAAAUUGCCAUAAACCUCUCUCUCAAUUUACCUUUUUUUUCUUAAAAAAAAGAAAGAAAGUUGGCCCCUUUAAUGGUUUUUAGCCACUUCUAUGUUAGUUUUCUGCCUUCUCUUGCAUCUGAAAGAUCCCCAGCUUUCUGAGGACUGACCUGAAUCGAGCAAACGAAAAACAUCGAUAAACGAACCCGAGGCGAACAUUCAAGCUCGCGGUGAAGACACAAAAUCCAAUUAACCAAGGCUACAUAAGCACCAUCGAAGCGAGAGGGAAAGAGCAAGGCGUGAGAGCUGAGAGGCGAGAGAGAAAGAGCGUCGAGAGUGGCCUAAGAGGUGAGAGACGAUUAGGGUUUGCCUCAGACGAGUUGCUAAUUCAAGCGAGAGGAUGUGAUUCUUGCAAAUGGUGAUUGUGAAAGAGGGUCAAGGUGUGAGAGACUAGAGGCAAAGAGGAGGCGCGCGCGAGGCGAAGGCUUAAGUGAUCAAGACUAAUUAUUAGCUUUAGGUUUACAUUUAAGAUAUGAAUAAAAAUAUUCAGUUUGGUCAGGUCCGGGCAAUCUAGCUCCCUCCGGAACUGGGAACCAAACCAAAAAUCAUUGGUUCCAAUUUUAUAGAACCAAGAACCGGACCGACACUUUCGAAAUCACUCAGAACUAGCCGAUCCAACCGAUUCCUGAUUCGAUUGGUCUAUCUUGUUCACCCCUACUAAGUUAUUAUUACAUUUCAUUAUUUCAAUCUCUUCAACAAUUGGCCCUCUCUUUACGUUGGGAUCAUCUACCUCCCUAAGAUUACAUUGGGGCUCCAUCGCCUCCAUUUUCAUUAGUGAACUCUCCCAUCUCGAGCUUCAACCAUCAAUCGUUGCACUCACAGAUCACUCGGAAGCUCAUUCUAUGCUCGAGCUCGCUACAGUGGUGACUGGUGUAGAGGAGGUCAAAGGCAUGUCGGUGACCCUGCCCCAGUCGACCUUUAAUAACAUAUGUUUGUACGUGUGUUAGCAAUGGGCGAUAUAACAUACCAAACACCGAAGUCGGAGACAAAAAAGUAUAGAUCCUUUUCCCACUAAUUAACCGUAAAUCAAUGAUGUAAAAGACUAAAAAGAACUUAGGGUGAUUCUCUAAGAUUCUUCGUAUAGAUUGGCUUGGAAGUACACAAAUAAAUGAUGACUAACACGGGCAGUCACUGCACCUAUUGUUACAGAUAUUUAUCUUCCCGAUUGAUCAUAAUUGAUUUCAUUUUGAUAUUGUAAAUAUUCUAUUACUUUAGAUAGUUGUCCAGAAUAGCUUAUAAAUAAACUCUUGUAUCAUCAGUAUUACACACAUCGAAAUAUAUAGAAAUUCUAUUUUCAGCUCUUUUCUAUCACCUAAGACAAAAGACACAUUUUCUAACCUGUUGCUUAUUACGUUUCUUUAGGCCUAAGUUCGAUCCCUUCAACAACGAGACCGCGCUUUAUGGUGUAAUUAUCAGUCUCCUUAAGACCGCAGUCUAGAGUUCCGUCGUCUCCGUUCUCGUUAUAGAACUCGCCCAUCUCAAUCUCCAGCCACCCAUCUCCACGCUCCCUCAUCGACCGGGGCUCCCUUCCCCGGGGGUCAAGGAUCACGGUUGGCCAUUCUCGGUGCCCGUGGCUUUCGACCGCCACGCGCGACUCUGCGGGCCGAUGAAAUCCACUUUUAUAGUUUCUGAAUCGGAAGACGAGGUAAGCCGCGUACGUUGUUUUGGUCGAGAGCAUUUUCGUUUCGAUGCUUCCUAUAAUGUGAAACCACCACACGUACAUGAGCUGAGCCACUUGAUCGAACCUGUUAGAAAGAAGAGCGAUGGAAAAGCAAAUUGAUGGAUCAAGGAGAUUAUUCAUGCAGAAAGAGGUGUUUGUUUGUAAAAUGAAUGAUUUAGAUAACAUAUUUCUUAAUUAUUUCAUCGUCCAUGAAAAUGAUCAGACGUAGAAUUCAGUCAACAACAAAAGCAAUUUUCAUAGACCAAUAAUUUCAAACGAUAUAAAUGAAAAUGAAAUUUUAGGCAUGCGAGAGUGGAGAAAAGUAGUGUAUGUUUAAUUUAACUUAAUGAUAGAAGAUAAAAGGGGGGAAGGACCUGGAAUUUGGUUCAGCAAUCCAUCUCCAGUAACGCUGGUCAUCUCCCCAUAUGAUUCCCAGCCCCCUUGCUCCGAUCAUAAAGCAUUUCUUUCCACUCUUCUUAUCCAAUGAGAAGAUCUACACGACAGCAUGAUGUCAUAGAUAAUUAGAGAUUUAAUACUAGUAAUUCGACGUUAAUCGAGGGGGGCCGGGGGGAGUAUUGCGGAAAAGAAAGUUUGUCUUCAUAGACGUCCUCUAUACUUCAGUACGCACAAACAAGUUAGGACACUUCACAGCCUUACAAGACGGCUAGAGCGGAAUGCACCCAUAGCAUCGUCACGGCUGCAGCAGAAAAGAAAUUUAGCAGACGUCCAUUGUACUUUGGUCAGUGAAAUUCAGUGACAAAAUCCUAAUAAUGUUUAGUAUAAUCUUGUACAAACCUCGGUUCAAUAUGAGGGUCCCCAAGAUUUGUCAAUAGGCCUUGCUUUCAUACUAGACAAUAUUAUUCAAUCAUAAAAAAGAAAGCUACAGGAUUAUUCUACAAUCAGGCUGUUCUCAGUUUGUCCAUUUCGGUCAGUGAAAUUCAGUGAAGAAAUCCUAAUAAUGUUCAGUAUAAUCUUGUACGAACCUCAGUUCGCUCUGGGGCUCACCAAAAUUUGUUCAUAGGAAUUGCUUCUAAACUAGACAACAUCAUUCGACCCAACAAAAAAAAAAAAAUGCUUGAUCUUUCGGACCCCCCCCCCCCCAAAAAAAAAAAAAAAAGAAGAAGAGAAACGAGGAUGCCUGUCUAAGUUCCUAGCCUCACUCAUCAUUUCCCAUGGUCAAUUACUUCAAUGACCACUUCAUACCCUUUGUCAUGCAGAUUCACCACAUUCACUCAACUAUGCCAAAAAAAGUUACAUUCAAUAUCAAACCAUCACACUGUAAUCGAGCGCUAACCAUGUUCCGGUUGCUGCCGACGGGGAUCGGAUGGUCGCAGAGGUGGAGGUAGAGUGACUUCUUGGGCGAUAUCGGAGGGAGGACCACACCGUCGCAGUGGUCGGGCGGCAAGAAUUGGAGCCACACCUGAUCUGAAUCUGCGAUCGAUCUGAAGGCGGUGGAGACAGACGAUACCCUGCAAGCGUCUCGUGGAGUUGUGAGAGAGAUGAUCCGGGAGAUCACGUCGCCAGGCAGCUUCGAGAAUGCCAUCGUCCCUUUUUCUCUCCGUCCUCUCGUUUCUUGCCUUGGAUUUCACUGACUUUCUGCAGAAGAUCAAAAGGGGAUGAGUAAAGACUACGCCAAAGUCCAUGGGAGAUUAAUUAAGGGAUAGAUGAAAGCGCCAACCCCCAAAAGUCUACGCCAAAACUUUUUUAAGAAAUACAAUUGAAUUUUAAAACUUAUUGACUUGGUGUAAUGCAACCCUCUUCAUAUAAUUUGGAGAAUAUUCUAAAAAGAGGUCUCAAAUGCCAUCAUUUUCUUAAAUAAUGAUCCGAAAUGGACCUUAUUUCAAAUAAGGACAUGAAGUGCAAUCAUUUUAUCAAUUAAGAACCUAAAGUAGAUAUUAUUUCAAAUAAGAAUAUGGAGUGGUCCGUUUCAAACAAGGGCCUAAAGUGGCCAUGUCCAUUUUAAAAAAUGAUCUAACUUUCCAACGGUUAAAGGUAUUUUUGUCAUUUGCAAUUUUUUCCUUUUUUUCCUCAUUUUUUUUUUUGUUUUUCUUUCGGCCAUCGGCGAUGCCCACAGAGGACUAGGUGAGGGUUGCCUUCGCUAGCAAGAGUUGCCCAUGUAGGCCACAAGAAAGGAAUGGCCUCGCUUGGGUGAGGGUCGAGGCCAUCCUUGCCUUGGGGGAGGCCGCCCCUCGCGGCCAUUUACGAGGUUUGGCACUUGCCAUAUUUUCUGAGGGUGGCCUCAGCCAUGAUCAACAAGGGUUGGGCGACCUCACUGGCCAUUGUUAAAGGAUAGCGAGGGUCACAGAGCCUUUACCGACCUUUUAUAAUGAGGGUUAACACCUUGAAAAACCCAAAACUAAUACACUUGUGAUAAAUUUACCCCAAACUAUUUUUUUGAUCAUGAAAAUCUCCAAAUUAGUACACAUGUGACAAAUUUGCCCCGACUAACCAUUAAAAAACUUAAACUAGUACAUUUAUGACAAUUUUACCCCAAGCUAAUUUAUUCGACCGCAAAAAACCAUAAGCUAAUAAAUUUGUGACAAAUACACUCUGUUAAAUUGAAUUAAUACCACAAAAAAAUCACAAAAAUUGUAAACUGUGACAAAUGGAACGUAAAAUCCCAAAUUGGUAUACUAGUCAACUGUUACGUGUCAUUUAACUUAAUAAUUUGACAAUAAAAUUUAACGAAAACUAACAGAGAGUAAAUUUAUCACAAGUGUACCAGUUUUUGGUAAAUUUGUCAAAGGUAUACCAAUUUGAAGUUUUUGGUGGUCAAAAAAAUAGUUUGGGGUAAAUUUAUCACAGAUGUACUAGUUUGGGGUUUUUCAGAGUAUUAACCUUUAUAGUAAUCACCAUUUGAUGCUAAAAAAGAAAAAAAAAAAGAAAAAAAAAAGGAUGAAAACGCCCUUGACUAGUCAAAAAAUUUAGCCAGUCGAUGGCCAGUGAGGUUUCAGCCUUUAUUUAAAACAAUUAAAGUCACUUUAGGUGCUUAUUUGAAACAACUAAGGCUAUUUUAGGUCCAUAUUUGAAACAAAGUCUACUUCGGGUUUUUAUUUAAGAAACUGAUUGCACCAAGUCCUUUUUUGAAAUUUUCCCUAUAAUUUGGCUAACGGAAAUUGCCAUAAACCUCUCUCUCUCAUUUUACCUUUUUUAAAAAAUGGCAUUUUUAAUGAUUUUUAGCCAUUUCUAUGUUUCUUCUAAGUUUUCAGCAUUUUUCUUUGUUUUCUUUUAUAAGUUUUUUUUUUUUAAAAAAAAAGCUUUUUGAGGUGCGUUGACAAAUUAACGCUGAAAAUCAAUUGAAAUUGCUACAUCGGCAUUUUCUAUUAUACAACUUGGAUGUUUGAUUUAAUUAGAUCAAUUUAAAAUUUUGGAUUCGAAAGUUUAUGCUUUCGUCAUUAAUUUUAGGAUUUCUACUGCAUUAAUUUCAUUAAUUAAUUUGUUCAAAAUCAGUAAGGCGAUUUCAUAAUGCGUCUCAAGGCUAUCCCUUCAUCAGGCAAAACUCAUCGUUUCCACUUAACGAAAUUGUGUCUUGAGUCCCAAUUUCAAAGAGGUGAGCAAGAUUACUAAUAUGACAAAAUUAACAAAUAGGAUAAAUGAAUUCUUUUAAACAUAUAAAGUUACUAAUCAACUUAUAAAUUACUAAAAAAAAAAGAUGGCAAAAUUACUGAUCACCAACUUACGCUUCAAAUGAAGAAAAUUACUAAUCCAUGCGAAAAACUUCCCAAAAUAAAUUUGGAUUUUCUUUCCUUUAGAAAAGCUUUAAAUCACAUUUAAAAUUAAUAAAUCUUCGGAUAUUACUAUAUGGAUGAAACGAUUCUUAAGCAACUACGAAGCAAUUAACUGAAAGAGCAAAGAAAUAGGACAAUAAACCGACCAAUAUAUAUAUAUAUAUAUAGAACAAAAAUAAGGCAUACAAACCGCUCUAAAAAAAUGAGAUUUUCAACAAAAUUGAAGGUCAUAUGCUCAAUCCCCCGGUGUACACAACCACCAUCUACUAGAGCAAAGGACGAUUUUUAGAAUUCGUUACAUAGAUUAGCAAUCACCACAUCCACGCGACAAAAAGACACGUCCAUCCCGCGAUCUAAUGCAUUUCUUUAGGCCUAAGUUCGAUCCCUUACAACAACGAGACCACGCUUGCAUCUGACAAAUUCCCUGAGGCUACACACCAGCGUCACUGUGGAACUCCCCCAUGUCGAUCUCCAUCCAUCCGUGUGCGCGCGCCCAUGGAUCGCUCUAGGCUCGCCUUCCUUAGGAUCCAGCAUCACGGGUCGCCCUUCAUCGAGCUCCUCGCUGCCGAUGCAGAGAUGCAACUUUACUGGCCAAUCGAAUCCCUGCUUGCGCCCUUCGAACUGGAAUACGAGAUAAGCUACAUAAUUCGUCCCGGACGAGAGCAUAGAGGUGUCGAUCCUUCCUAUGAUGUGAAACUGUUGGAAGAUAUGCAGGGUCUAUUUUUGGUUAUGAUCGUGCAUUAGAUCAAUUAGGGAUUAGAUUGAUAUUGAUUCGAUUGUAAAAAUAUUUCCUUUCCCUUUAUUCAUGUAUCUACUGUAUUAUAAUUACAGUGUAAUGAACAUUGAAUGAUAUAGAGAAAAUACAGAGAAAUUCCCUAAAAGCUCUACAUUUUCUUCUUCCCUUCGCCUUGCUCUUUGCUUCUCUACGCCUUCUGACAUGGUAUCAGAGCUUUGCUCUUGAUUCCGCUUCCGCACACAUUGAUUGCCUAUCGGAGCUUCUUGAUCUGCAAAACCAGAUCAAAGCAGAAAAGGAAUCAAAUAUUUAUUAGAGAAGAAAGAAGCAGAGGAGGUUACUCACCAUGAAUCCACCAGAAAAUUCAUCCUCUGGCGUGGAUUUGCAACCUACAGGAGAGGCUACAUCUGCACAACAAAUUCAAACCACAAUUCCAACAAUUCAACAGCAAACUCAAGUUCCAAUUCUGCCAUGGCAGUAUCACCCGGCUCAGUCAAACAUGGGGUUGCCUGUCUCUGGGCAUCCUUACCAUUGGGUACCAUAUCCUUGGUACGUUGGGACAGCCCCAAAUACAUCAUCGCCGGGGACUGGGAGCAGUCUGAGCAACCCUCAGUCCGAUGGGAGUCCGCCAACCACGAAUGGGGCAAACUCAGCCGUCGGUUCAGGACAAGUUAGCGGGUCGGGUGAACCGGGUUUAGGGUCGAAUCCCUAUCCGGAACCGGGUUUAGGGUCGAAUCCCUACCCGGGUAUUUCCAAUGCGACUUAUGGGUCCGGAUUUAGCGGAUCGGGUACAGGGGCGAACCCUUACCAAAAUUUCGCACCAAGCUUCCUUCCGUUUCCGGUCGCUGCCGUCACUGGCCGACCGGAACCUGGCGACCCUUUAUACGUAUCAACCGCCGACGGUCCAGAAGUAAAAUUAAUUAGUCUACAACUUACCGGGUCGGAAAAUUAUUCCAAAUGGUCGCAAGAUUUCCGGCGGGCCCUUGUGACGAAGGACAAAGACGGAUUUCUCGACGGAUCAAUACCCAUACUGUCGGACGAGCGGCUGGCCAGGCACUGGAGAAAAUGCAACCACCUCAUCCGAACAUGGAUCGGCAAUUGCAUUUCUCCAGAGGUGGCCGCCGGACUCCCUCUGACGGAAGAUUCAAAGAAGAUGUGGGAUAGCAUCAGAGAGAUGUACGGAAAACUAGAUCGGGCCAAGAUCUUUUCCCUCAUGCAAGAAUUAAGCGAGUUAAAACAGGGAAAUAUGACCGUCACGGCCUGCUACAACAAAUUGUCAUCUCUCUGGAACCAACUCGAAGCAACGGAGGAGAAGCUCGAGGGACCAGCAGAGACGCUCCAACAGUACAGAUCUAUGAAGGAGAGGGAGAAGGCAACGCGAUUUCUUUUGAUUUUGAAUGAAAACUAUCUAACCUUUCGAUCUCAGAUCUUGGCGAUGAAUCCGGUGCCUCCCCUCGGACGAAUCUUCCAACUGGUCGUUCAAGAGGAAAACUAGAGGCUCGCGGUUCCGGAGCAAACGCGAGGAAGCGACAGCAUCGCCCUCACGAUGCGCGGCGUCCGGCGAGACUCGGGACAAACCCUAGCCCGAGAGAGAGAGAAUCGCGAAGGGGGGCUAGGGUUCCAAGGAAAUUUCGCACGCCCCCUUAAAAGAGAGGGGACGAGCGGCCCAGAUCUUCCGCCGAAAUCCGACGGUGCACAGGGGCUUCAUCCGGUCGGUGAAUCGGACGGCGGAUAUUAUCCCUUGAUGAAGGGAUCCGACGGUCAGAUUUAUUCUCCAUUAAAGGGAUCGGACGGUCCGAAUUAUCCCUCAUCAAAGGGAUCGGACGGUCAAGUUUUUUUCGCAUCUUUAAAGAAUUUUGGUCAAAAUUCAAAGGGGAGAGGUAAAUUAUAUUGUGAAUAUUGCAAGCAUCCACAUCAUACCAUAGAUAAUUGUUGGAAAUUGCAUGGUAAGCCAGGAGAAAAGGGAAAGAAAAAGGAAUAUGCUGCAGCCUACCAAGUCACUGGACCUAUUGGUCCCAAUCAUGAUCAACCUAUUACAUAUGGGCAGUAUCAGCAGCUGAUGCAGACUUUGCAGAAGGUCGAUAUUGGGAAUAAAGGAGCAAGUGUUUCAGGUAUUUCUUAUUGCCUGAUAAAUUCUAUUUCAAGAAAAGCUUGGAUAAUUGAUUCAGGGGCGAGCGAUCAUAUUGUUUGUGAUAGAAGACUUUUUUCCAAUAUGCACAAGAAAUUAGAUACACCUAUUUCUGUGCAAUUGCCAAACGGGAACAUUACUCAUGUCACUUUGACAGGCACUGUCCAAUUAAAUCAUCAAAUUACCCUUCAAAAUGUUCUUUAUGUCCCACAAUUCCAAUUCAAUUUGAUUUCUGUCUCCAAAGUCUGCAGAGAAAAUUCAUGUCAAAUAUUCUUUAAUUCUGACAUCUGUUUUUUCCAGGCCCGUUCGACUGGCAAACUGAUGGGCUUGGGUAAUCUGUCUGAAGGGCUUUAUUUUUGGAUCAGUUACCCUAGUCAUUUUGAUUUAUCUUCCCUGAAUAAAAAAUCGUUGUGUAAUUUGUCUACCAAUGAUAAUAGUUUCCUUAUGUAUUCACGAAUGGGUCAUAGUGCAUUCUUUCCUUACUCUAAAUGUGAAAUCUGCCCACUUGCAAAACAAUCCAGAAUUCCUUUCCCUUACAGUACAACUCGUUCUACUGAAAUUUUUUCUCUGAUUCAUAUGGAUGUUUGGGGACCUUAUCACACCCCACAUCGGGAUGGUUCACGAUAUUUUCUCACAAUUGUGGACGAUUACUCUCGUGCCACAUGGGUGUUCCUAAUGCAGUCGAAAGCACAGGUUAUCUCUCAUUUAAGGAUGUUUCUAGUUCUGACUAAAAAUUAGUUUAAAAGGUCGAUCCAACGGAUUCGCACCGAUAAUGGGACAUAAUUCUUCAAUAAUGAUUGCCGCUCACUUUUUCUGUCCCAUGGCAUUCUUCAUGAAAGCUCCUGUGUUUAUACUCCACAACAGAAUGGAGUAGUAGAGCGAAAACAUCGCCAUCUAUUGGAAGUCACCAGAGCACUGAAAUUUCAGGGAUCUAUCCCAGACAGUUAUUAUGGAGAUUGUGUUCUUACUGCAGCUUAUUUGAUCAACCGGAUGCCAACACGGAUACUGGAUGGCAAAUCGCCUUUCGAAUUGCUUUAUAAAAAAAGGCCGACCUUAGAUCAUCUGAGGGUCUUCGGCUGCUUGUGUUAUGCUGCAGUAAUGGGGCCUCGGGACAAAAUGAGUCCCCGUGCUAGGAGAUGCAUAUUCAUGGGUUAUCCAAAUUUGCAAAAGGGAUAUUGGGUUCUUGACAUAAGAACAGGAGAUUUUUUUAUUAGUCGAGAUGUUAUUUUUCAUGAAAAUGUCCUUCCUUUUCGUGAAAAAUCAUCUUUUCAAGAUGACUUGAAUGCUCCAACGAGUUCCCGCCAAAUUCUAAAUGAAGAAGAAACAUCGCCUGGCUUUAUCUUCACCAUGCCACCAAAAGCAGAUCUUCCUCCCACUUUACCUAAUUCUCCUCCAGAAGAAUUUACGGACAGUGCUCUUGAAAAUCCAAACAAUACGGAGGAUACUCCUGAGACACAUGCAGAGGAACAAUCUUCACCACCAACAACUCAUCCACGUCGCUCAGGACGAGCCACAAGACCGCCAACUUGGACUAAAGAUUAUGUCUGUGCUUCACUUAACUCACUAGGUAUUCGCUAUCCAAUAUCUUCUUACGCAUGCUUUGAUAAGCUUUCGUCAGAUCAUAGAUGUUGCAUUAGCCGUAUUUCCAAUGAAAAAGAACCCUCUAGUUAUGAUGAAGCAUCUAGAGAUCCAAGGUGGCAACAAGCCAUGACUGCAGAACUACAGGCAUUGACUGAUAACCACACAUGGGAAUUAGUCACUCUUCCUGAAAAUAGAAAAUCCAUAGGAUGUAAAUGGGUGUAUAAGAUCAAAUAUAGAUCUGAUGGAUCAAUUGAGGUGGCUAAAGGAUAUACGCAACGGGAAGGUUUCGAUUAUCACGAGACUUUUUCCCCUGUUGCUAAGGACGUCACAGUUCGUUCUUUUGUUCAUAAUUGGUCCUUACAUCAGAUGGAUGUUCACAACGCCUUUCUUCAUGGAGAUUUAGACGAGGAGAUUUAUAUGGAUAUUCCUCAGGGUUUACGGAGACAGGGGGAGAAUAAAGUAUGUCGUCUCCGCAAAUCCCUUUAUGGAUUGAAACAAGCUUCAAGGCAAUGGUAUGCAAAGUUUGCGAAUGCUCUCACAACUGCAGGCUUCAAACAAUCCAAGUAUGAUUACGCCCUGUUCACAUGGACUAAAGGUAUGUCAUCUAUCUACUUGAUGAUAUAUGUUGAUGAUAUCCUCAUCAUGGGCAACGAUGACACUGCAAUAGGGAGUCUUAAGAAGUAUUUGCAUGCUACAUUUCAUAUAAAGGACCUGGGAGCACCAAAAUACUUCCUUAGUAUUGAGAUUGCUCGAUCCGACCAAGGGAUUUCUCUUAGUCAGCGAAAGUUUGUAUUGGAGAUCAUUUCAGAAGCUGGAUUAUCAGGAUGCAAACCGGCAGCUAUUCCUAUCGAGCAGAACACCAAAUUAACAACAGCGGAUUUUCUUGGAGGGAUAUCUCAGGAUGAUGAUCCUAUACUCAAAGAUCCGACAGGUUAUCAAAGGCUCGUUGGAAAACUCAUAUAUCUGACUAUGACCAGACCUGAUAUUUCAUAUGCCGUACAAACUCUCAGCCAAUUUAUGCACAGCCCGAAGGAGUCUCACAUGAAUGCAGCCUUGAAAGUUGUGAAAUAUCUGAAGAAAUGCCCAGGACUCGGAAUACUUCUGUCUAGAAGGUGUAAUAUGGAAUUGACGGGAUACUGCGAUGCAGAUUAUGCGACUUGCCCGAUGAGUCGAAGAUCGAUUACUGGCUUCUGUAUUAAAUUUGGGGAAUCUCUCCUUUCAUGGAAGACCAAGAAACAGGCGACAGUCUCCUUAUCUUCAGCUGAAGCAGAAUAUCGGGCCAUGGCGAAAAUCACAUGUGAAAUUGUUUGGUUGCGGGGGUUACUUGGAGAUCUUGGGAUUAAGCUGAAAGGAGCAACGAAGUUGUUUUGCGACAAUGAUGCAGCUCUCAAACUUGCAGCAAAUCCCGUGAUGCAUGAAAGAACAAAGCAUAUAGAAGUGGACUGCCACUUCACACGAGAGAAGAUUCAAGAGGGAAUCAUUGAGACAAGAGGAAUUGGAACCGCAGAACAACCUGCAGACAUCUUCACCAAACCUCUAUGUCAAAGACAACAUGCAUAUCUUCUAAGCAAGCUAGGAGUCUUGGAUAUCUACAAGCCACCAGCUUGAGGGGGAGUGUUGGAAGAUAUGCAGGGUCUAUUUUUGGUUAUGAUCGUGCAUUAGAUCAAUUAGGGAUUAGAUUGAUAUUGAUUCGAUUGUAAAAAUAUUUCCUUUCCCUUUAUUCAUGUAUCUACUGUAUUAUAAUUACAGUGUAAUGAACAUUGAAUGAUAUAGAGAAAAUACAGAGAAAUUCCCUAAAAGCUCUACAUUUUCUUCUUCCCUUCGCCUUGCUCUUUGCUUCUCUACGCCUUCUGACAGAAACGACCACAUGCGCUGUAGCUGAGCCACUUCGUUAAACCUGUCUGAGGAUUCACUGUUUGGAUUAUUACCAAAGGAUGUCCUGAAACAUCUUUCGGAAUCAAUUUUUGAAAAAGCUGGAUUCUAGCAUAGCGUGUUAGAAAUUCUUUAUAAUAUGGGCUUACAUUAAUGAAUUAAUUUUCUAUUUUAAAUAAUCGGGUUAAUAUAUAUUCCAAUAUUUGUUAAACCUAGAGUAAUCUUAUUGAAACGCUGUUGAUUAGAGUUUGUUAGAUUCCCCCUCUAACCUAAGGUAGGUUACAUCUAUCAGUUACUUAAAUCCCAUUAAAAAUUGCUAUAUCAAAAUAGGUCAUAGAGAGAAAGAUUUGACUUUCCAAUAGAUCUCUGGUAUCAAUUAGAGUGAUCUAUUUUUCUUCAACUAAAGUAAUGGCGGUUUGGUACUAUGCUUAUUGAUCUUGAUGUUUUACAGUCAUAUAUCGAUACGAUUUUUCUUUGAUUAGUUGUUUAUGUGAAUAAUUUUCUAUAUGUGGUAUUAGAGCAAAUCAUAUAUGAUUGUAGAACCCAAUUUUAUUUUAUUUUUUCAUGGAAAAAUUCGAAAUAUUCCUCUUUGAGCCAAAUAUGGGCGUUAUUUUUUCAUGUGGAUUUUUUGAUCGAUUGAUUCUAAAACCAUAGGCUUUUUGUUCUACAUGUCAAGAUCUUUCCAACCAUAUAUAAUUUGUAUAAUUUCGUCUUGAGAAUUGAAAGAUAAUUUUAAAUUUGAAAUUCUAGGAUUUACUUGCAAUUGAUUGAUGUUCGUUGUAAAUCGUUGCAUGGGUAUUGUUAUAUAUAUGUUUUAGCAUCCUUUUGUUUUAUUAAAGUAAGCCCCCAUCUUCCUCUCUGCUCUCUAGAUUUCGAAAUAUUAAUUUGGAAAACCAUUGCUUCAUGCUAGUUCCUUCAGUGACAUGAUUGUUUUGGUAUGGGAGGGGUACGAGUAUGGAUUUGGAUUGUUUUGCUAUUGAUAGCCUCUUAUGCGCAUGUUUCACAUUCUUGUUUUGGUGCAAUGAUCCUAUUAGAUGCUGAAAUUCCGCGUUUUUGGAUGAUGGGUUUGCGGAGAUUUGUUUUGUUUUGUGAGCAUGUUCAAGGGUUAAGUUGAUCUCUUGAAUCGGAGGUUUUUUCUUAAGUAAUGUUCUGGAAACUGUGGAAUGAGUCUUCCUUCUGUUAUGCCCUGGGGCCGUGUUUAUGGCGGGGGAGGAGCUAACGGUGUUUGUUUAAUUGAAUAGAAAUAAUGCAUUCACAUUGAGUAAAUUGGACAUCGAAGUACUUCCUAAUGAUCCAUGCAUGAAACGUCGGAAACCCACCUACGACGAGCACAUCCAAUUCAUCGCGCGAGAAGGACGGCGUGAUUAGGCGCGGUCCCGCGCCCCCUCGCGAAGCCCUAGGGCUCCUGUUUCGGGUGUCAGGGAGUCGUGCGGCUCUAGGAUCGGAUUCCGUUUUGGCCGAGCAAUAGGGAAAAGUAGUCGGAACGAUGGCUUCUUGAGCAGUUCUGGUUUUGUGUGAGGCGUUUGUAGCUAGAUGGAAGCGGAUGAUUCCGUGGGAAUCGGAGACCGUUAGUGAUGGUUUUUCUCGGUGUGGUGACGGUCUUACGGUUUUGUCAGGGUUUGGAGAUUCUCUUUCAUGAUGUAAAGUUGCAUGGGUUAUGGAUUCUAGGCGGGGUGGCAGAGGCCAAUUACGGUUAGGUCAUGUUAGCGAAAACAAAAGUGGUUUUUUUAUUUAUUUUGUGUAGCAUGAGCGAGGCCAUUCUUGGGUUGCCCUUUAAUUCCGUCUUUAUGAUUUACUAGGGUAAUGUGUUGAUGUUGCGGUGAGACUAGACUUCUGAUGGUUUUCCUUUUCUUGACGUGGGUGUUCCUCUGUGUAAUGCUGUGUGAUGUGAAUAGUUGUUCUUGUCAAUGUUGAAUGGCGUUGAUCUUCGAGAUCCUCCGUUAAUUGAAAGAUAUCUUGAUGGAGCAAUGCCUGGUCAGCAAUGAUAUUAUGACGAAGUUGCAUUCCAUUAUAAGAAUGAGGACUUUUUCUGUUGUUAUAGCCUCUUAAGAGUCUCCCAUUGCCUAUCUUUGUUGUCAUGGGAUGUUAAUUCAAGCGAGAGGAUGUGAUUCUUGCAAAUGGUGAAUGUGAAAAAGGGCCAAGGUGUGAGAGAGUAGAGGGAAAGAGGAGGCGUGCGCGAGGCGAAGGCCUAAGUGAUCAAGACUAAUUAUUAGCUUUAGAUUUACAUUUAAGAAAUAUAUAAAAAUAUUUAGUUUGGCCCAGUCUGCGCAGUCCAAUUCCCUCCGGAACUGAGAACCAAACCAAAAAUCAUUGGUUCCAAUUUAUAUGGAACAAAAAAUCAGACUGACACUUUAAGAAUCACUCAAAACUGGCAAGUCCGACCGGUUCCUAAUUCGGUUGGUUUGUCUUGUUCACCCCAGUAAGAAAAAUCUAGUUUUCUUUUCUCUUCCGACUCUCACUUCCCAUCAUACACAAUUCAUUCCUUAAAUUUUUCUUCUCCUCUUCCAACACAUCUAACAUGGGAGUCUAGAAUAUGGAUCGCUUGUUUUUUCUCCAAGUUUUAUGAAUUAUUGAAAUAGAAUUGAAUUUGUCAAAUUAAAAUAAUGAGUGGUAUUAAUAAAUGGUGGAUUAAUGUUUUCAGUGUAAAUUCAUUCUAAGCUUAUUUAUUUAUUUAUUUAUUUAUGAAUUUGAUUCAAAUUAAUUUGAUUGAAAUAAUCAUAAAAAUAUAAUUUAUUAUGUAUAUAUAAAAAUAUAUAUUUAAUAUACGUGUCCCAACACGUCAAAAUUCUCUAUUUUUUUAGAAACGACGUGACAUGUCGUAUCGCGUGUCAAUGCGGGUGCUACUUAGCUCACAGAUCGCUUGGAGGCUCAUUCUAUGCUCAAGCUCGCUACAGUGAUGGUUGGUGUCGAGGAGGUCGAAGGCAUGCCGGUGACCCUGCCCCGGUCGACCUUUAAUAACAUAUGUUUGUACGUGUGUUAGCAAUGGGGGAUAUAACAUACCAAACACUGAAGUCGUAGACAAAAGUAUUGAUCCUUUUCUGAUUAAUUAACCGUAAAUCAAUGAUGUAAAACACUAAGAAGAACUUUGGGUGAUUCUCUAAGAUUCUUCACAUAGAAUGGCUUGGAAGUACACAAAUAAAUGAUGACUAACACUGGCAGUCACUGCAUCCCUAUGACAAAAGACACAUUUUCUAACCUACUGCUUAUUAGGUUUCUUUAGGCCUAAGUUCGAUCCCUUCAACAACGAGACCGAGCUUUGUGGUGUAAUCAUCGACCUCCUUAAGACUGCACACUAGAGUUCCGUCGUCUCCGUUCUCGUUGUAGAACUCGCCCAUCUCAAUCUCCAGCCACCCAUCUCCACGCUCCCUCAUCAACCGGGGCUCCCCUUCCCGGGGGUCAAGGAUCACGGUUGGCCAUUCUCUGUGCCCGUCGCUUUCGACUGACACGCGCGCCUCUGCAGGCCGAUGAAAUCCUCCUUUAUUGUCUCUGAAUUGGAAGACGAGGUAAGCCGCGUACCUUGUUUUGGUCGAGAGCAUUUUCGUUUCGAUUCUUCCUACAAUGUGAAACCAGCACACGCGCAUGAGCUCAGCCACUUGAUCGAACCUGUUAGAAAGAAGAGCGAUGGAAAAGCAAAUUGAUGGAUCAAGGAGGUUAUUCAUGCAGAAAGAGGUGUUCGUUUGUAAAAUGAAUGAUUUAGAUAACAUAUUUCUUAAUUAUUUCAUCGUCCAUGAUGAAAAUGAUCAGACGUGGAAUUCAGUCGACAACAAAAGCAAUUUUCAUAGACCAAUAAUUUCAAACGAUAUAAGUGAAAAUGAAAUUUUAGGCAUGCGAGAGUGGAGAAAAGUAGUGUAUGUUUAAUUUAACUUAAUGAUAGAAGAUAAAAGGGAGAAGCGUAUAGGACCUGGAAUUUGGUUCAGCAAUCCAUCUCCAGUAACGCUGGUCAUCUCCCCAUGUGAUUGCCAGCUCCCUUGCUCCGAUCAUAAAGCAUUUCUUUCCACUCUUCUUAUCCAAUGAGAAGAUCUACACGACGGCAUGAUGUCAUAGAUAAUUAGAGAUUUAAUACUAGUAAUUCGACGUUAAUCGAGGGGGAGGGGGGAGUAUUGCGAAAAAGAAAGUUUGUCUUCAUAGACGUCCUCUAUACUUCAGUACGCACAAACAAGCUGGGACACUUCACAGCCUCACAAGACAGCUAGAGCGGAAUGCAUCCAUAGCAUCGUCUCGGCUGCAGCAGAAAAGAAAUUUUGCCGGCGUCCAUUGUACUUUGGUAAGUGAAAUUCAGUGACAAAAUCCUAAUAAUGUCUAGUAUAAUCUUAGACAACAUCAUUCGACCCACCAAAAAAAAAAAAAAAACUAAACUAAACUAAACGAAGGAAUAUUUCUACAAUCCAGCUAUUGUCAAUUUAUCUCAAGCACCGAUAAUGUCUACAAAAAUUUACAUUGUAAGAAUGCUUUCAGACCCAAAAAAAGAAGAAGAACGAGCAUGCCUGAUUCAAGUUCAUAGCCUCACUCAUCAUUUCCCAUGGUCAAUUACUUCAAUGACCACUUCAUACCCUUUGUAAUUCAAUCUUCUUAAAAGCCUCCCAAGAAGAGUAAAAUGGCUUUACCUUAGAUAACCCUGCUCUAUCUAUGCAGAUUCACCACACCCACUCACUAUGCCAAAAAAAGUUGCAUUGAAGAUCAAACCAUCACACUGUAAUCGAGCGCUAACCAUGUUCCGGUUGCCGCCGAGUGUAAUGCUAUAUGUCGACAAUCGGCAUCGAGUUAUGCUACACGCAAACAAUUCCAUCGAACAGAAGUUACGCGAACGCCCUCUAUACUUGAGUCAGUGAAAUUCAGUGGAGAACCCCGAUCUUAUAUUUCGAGAAUUUUCUCGUAUGGACCCUGGUUCGAUGCAGGCCUCAUCUGUCUUCUUCUUAGAAUAAGAUUUCCCAAAAUGUCUGCUAAAACCUAUGACAUCGUCAAUGAUGUUUGAACUAGUAUAAACUCAAUUCAGUGCGCACAAACAAGUUAGGACACUUCACAGCCUUACAAGACGGCUAGAGCGGAAUGCAUCCAUAGCAUCGUCACGGCUGCAGCAGAAAAGAAAUUUAGCAGACGUCCAUUGUACUUUGGUCAGUGAAAUUCAGUGACAAAAUCCUAAUAAUGUUUAGUAUAAUCUUGUACAAACCUCGGUUCAAUCUGAGGGUCCCCAAGAUUUGUCAACAGGCCUUGCUUUCAUACUAGACAAUAUUAUUCAAUCAAGAAAAAGAAAACUACAGGAUUAUUCUACAAUCAGGCUGUUCUCAGUUCAUGCAUUUCGGUCAGUGAAAUUCAGUGAAGAAAUCCUAAUAAUGUUCAGUAUAAUCUUGUACGAACCUCACUUCGCUCUGGGGCUCACCAACAUUUGUUCAUGGGAAUUGCUUCUAAACUAGACAACAUCAUUCGACCCACCCAAAAAAAAACUAAACUAAACUAAGGGAUAUUUCUACAAUCCAGCUAUUGUCAAUUUAUCUCAAGCACCGAUAAUGUCUACAAAAAUUUACAUUGUAAGAAUGCUCGAUCUUUCGGACCCACCAAAAAAAACGAGCAUACCUGAUCUAAGUUCAUAGCCUCACUCAUCAUUUCCCAUGGUCAAUUACUUCGAUGACCACUUCAUACCCUUUGUAAUUCAAUCUUCUUAAAAGCCUCCCAAGAAGAGUAAAAUGGCUUUACCUUAGAGAUAAUCCUGCUCUAUCUAUGCAGAUUCACCACACCCACUCAACUAUGCCAAAAAAAGUUGCAUUGAAGAUCAAAGCAUCACACUGUAAUCGAGCGCUAACCAUGUUCCGGUUGCCGCCGACGGGGAUCGGAUGGUCGCAGAGGUGGAGGUAGAGUGACUUCUUGGGCGAUAUCGGAGGGAGGACCACACCGUCGCAGUGGUCUGGCGGCAAGAAUUGGAGCCACACCUGAUCUGAAUCUGCGAUCGAUCUGAAGGCGGUGGAGACAGACGAUACCCUGCAAGCGUCUCGUGGAGUUGUAAGAGAGAAGAUCCGGGAGAUCACGUCGCCGGGCAGCCUCGAGAAUGCCAUCGUCCCUUUUUUCUCUCCGUCCUCUCGCUUCUUGCCGUAGACUUCACUGACUUUCUGCAGAAGAUCAAAAGGGAACGAGUAAAGCUGUUGAUUGGGUCUACGCCAAAGUCCACGGGAGAUUAAUUAAGAGAUAAAUGAAAGCGCCAACCCUAAAAAAUAUCUACGCCAAAACUUUUUUAGGAAAUACAAUUGAAUUUUAAAAAUUAUUGACUUGGUGUAAUGCAAUCUCUUCGUAUAAUUUGUAGAAUAUUUCAAAGAGGGAUUUCAAGUGCUAUCAUUUUCUUAAAUAAUGAUCCGAAGUGAAUCUUAUUUCAAAUAAGAACAUGAAGUGUAAUCAUUUUAUAAAAUAAGGACCUAAAGUAUAUAUUGUUUUAAAUAAAAGUUUGAAGUUGUCCGUUUCAAAUAAGGGCCUAAAGUGACCAUGUUUGUUUUAAAAAAUGGUCUACUUUCCAACAGUUAAGGGUAUUUUUGUCAUUUGUCAUUUUUUUUUCCUUUUUCUUUCCUUUUUUUUUUUGGUUCUUAUUUCGGCAAUCGGCGAUGCCCACAGAGGACUAGGUAAGGGUUGCCUUCGCCAGCAAGAGCCGUCCAUGUAGGCCACAAGCGAGGAAUGGCCUUGCUUGGGUGAGGGUUGAGACCAUCCUGCCUUAGGGGAGGCUGCCCCUCGUGGCCAUUUGUGAGGUUUGGCACUUGCUAGAUUUGCCGAGAGUGGCCUCAGCCAUGAUCGGUGAGAGUUGGGCGACCUCACUAGCCAUUGGUAAAGGAUAGUGAGGGUCACAGAGCCUUCAUUGGCCUUUUAUAGUAAAUGUCAAUACCUUGAAAAACCCCAAACUAGUACACUUAUGACAAAUUUACCAAAAACUAUUUUUUUAACCAUGAAAAACUCCAAAUUGGUACACCUAUGACAAAUUUACCCCGACUGACCAUAAAAAAAAACCUAAACUGGUACAUUUAUGAUAAUUUUACCCUAAGCUAAUUUAUUCGACCGCAAAAAACCAUAAACUAAUUAAUUUGUGACAAAUACACCAUUCGUUAAAUUGAAUUAAUACCACAAAAAAAUCACAAAAAUUGUAAACUGUGACAAACGGAACGUAAAAUCCCAAAUUGGUAUACUAGUCAACUGUUACGUGUCAUUUAACUUAAUAAUUUGACAAUAAAAUUUAACGAAAACUAACAGAGAGUAAAUUUAUCACAAGUGUACCAGUUUUGGGUAAAUUUGUCAAAGGCAUACCAGUUUUGGGUUUUUUGUGGUCAUAAAAAUAGUUUUGGGUAAAUUUAUCACAGAUAUACCCGUUUGGGGUUUUUCAGGGUAUUAACCUCUAUAGUAAUCACCAUUUGAUGCCGAAAAAGAAAAAAGAAGAAAAGAGAAAAAAAAAUGGAUGAAAACGCCCUUGACUAGUUAGAAAAUUUAGCCAGUCGAUGGCCAGUGAGGUUUCAGCCUUUAUUUGAAACAAUUAAAGCAACUUUAGGUGCUUAUUUGAAACAACUAAGGCUAUUUUAGGUUCAUAUUUGAAACAAAGUCUACUUCGGGUUUUUAUUUAAGAAACUGAUUGCACCAAGUCCUUUUUUGAAAUUUUCCCUAUAAUUUGGCUAACAGAAAUUGCCAUAAACCUCUCUCUCUCAUUUUACCUUUAAAAAAAAAAAACUGGCAUUUUUAAUGAUUUUUAGCCAUUUCUAUGUUUCUUCUAAGUUUUCAGCAUUUUUCUUUGUUUUCCUUUAUAAGUUUUUUUUUAAAAGCUUUUUGAGGUGCGGUGACAAAUUAACGCUGAAAAUCAAUUGAAAUUGCUACAUCGGCAUUUUUCUAUUAUACAACUUGGAUGUUUGAUUUAAUUAGAUCAAUUUAAAAUUUUGGUUUCGAAAGUUUAUGCUUUCGUCAUCAAUUUUAGGAUUUCUACUGCAUUAAUUUCAUUAAUUAAUUUGUUCAAAACCAGUAAGGAGAUUUCAUAAUGCGUCUCAAGGCUAUCCCUUCAUCAGGCAAAACUCAUCGUUUCCACUUAACGAAAUUGUGUCUUGAGUCCCAAUUUCAAAGAGGUGAGCAAAAUUACUAAUAUGACAAAAUUAACAAAUAGGAGAAAUGAAUUCUUUUAAACAUAUAAAGUUACUAAUCAACUUAUAAAUUACUAUAAAAAAAAGGUGGCAAAAUUACUGAUCACCAACUUACGCUUCAAAUGAAGAAAAUUACUAAUCCAUGCGAAAAACUUACUUCCCAAAAUAAAUUUGGAUUUUCUUUCCUUUAGAAAAAGCUUUAAAUCACAUUUAAAAUUAAUAAAUUUUCGGAUAUUACUAGAUAUGGAUGAAACGAUUCUUAAGCAACUGCGAAGCAAUUAACUGAAAGAGCAAAGAAAUAGGAAAAUAAACCAACCAAAAAUAUAUAUAUAGAACAAAAAUAAGGCACACAAACCGCUCUAAAAAAUAAGAUUUCCAACAAAAUUGAAGGUCGUAUGCUCAAUCCCCCAGUGUAUACAGCCACCAUCUACUAGAGCAAAAGACGAUUUUUAGAAUUCGUUGCAUAGAUUAGCAAUCACCACAUCCACGCGACAAAAAGACACGUCCAUCCCGCGAUCUAAUGCAUCUCUUUAGGCCUAAGUUCGAUCCCUUACAACAACGAGACCACGCUUGCAUCUGACAAAUUCCCUGAGGCUACACACCAGCGUCCCUGUGGAACUCCCUCAUGUCGAUCUCCAUCCAUCCGUGUGCGCUCUAGGCUCGCCUUCUUUAGGAUCCAGCAUCACGGGUCGCCCUUCAUCGAGCUCCUCGCAGCCGAUGCAGAGAUGCGACUUCACUGGCCGAUCAAAUCCCUGCUUGCGCGAAGUGUCGUGGUGAUGACAGGAUGAGCUGAAUUGGCUGUCUUUACAAUAGUGCGGUGAGGCACGGCAAAGCACGGCGCCGUGCUCCGAUGUCUAGCUUGGCGGUGUUGACUGUUAAGCGUGUGAGGCUCGUAAUUCGUUGAGCGAAUAUCCGGAUGUCACAAAAUGUGAAUUGACUUAAGGUGUGCUUGGUCUGGUGUUGGAGGAGAUCUUUGGGGAAAAUGCAAAGGUCUUUAGGGUCCGUUAUUUUCACGGAAAAUUGGUCAUUUCCGAAAAAUAUUUUCCCAAAAGUCAUUUUCUAGGAAAAUGACAAUAUUUUCUGGUAUUCGGCUAAAACUUAAAAAUGUUUUGGAAAAUAUUUUCUGGUGUUCGAUAAGGAAAAUAUUUUCUGCUUACCAAAUUGGCGAGCGCAAGCGUCAAGCUCGAGGCUCGCCAGAUUGACGAGCACGAGCUUGAGAUCGACGAGCUUGAGGUUCACUUAGUCUAACGAUUAGCCAAGAAAGAAAAAGAUGGGAGUCAAAGAAAAGAAAAAGAAUAAAAGAAAAAAAAAGGAAAUUAAAAAUAAUUAGAAUAAAAAAAAGAAAAUAAGAAGAAGAGAGGCUAGGAAGAAGUGAGGAUUUGUAUUUCCCCUAAUUUAAAAUACUUUUUUUCUUUCAUGGAAAACAUUUUUCCAAGGAAUUCAUUUUCCAUGAAACGAACGCCAGAAAAUCCAAAAAUUAUUUUCUCGGAAAUUAUUUUCCGCGAAACGAACAGAGCCUUAGAUUGAAGAAAUUUUUCGAAACGCAAGUAGUGUUUGAUAAAUUGUAAUUUAAAAGUGCAUUGAAAAACAGCCAAAUUUCAUCUUGGCAGAGUUUUGUCAAAGGCUCACCAACAGCCUGAACCCUAGCUGAUGACAUCAACUGAGGUGGGGUCAUUUCCGAAAUUAUGAAAGUUUGGCAAAGAUAAAGUUGAAAAAAGAAAUGCAUUGCAUUUCAUAAAUGCUCAAAACUCAAAACAUCUCUAGACCUAUCUUAGGCUAAAGGCUUUUGAAAUGCAAUGGCAUCUCUUCAAAGCUCUCCAAGAGAUCUGCUUAAUAGUAUUUUGCAUUUGCCCAGACUCAAAACCUCUUGACAAAGCAAUUCCCAAGUGGAGCCUUACUUGCAAGUUGCAAAAGGGUUCAAUUCCGUUUCACCAUUAACAUGGCUUGUCCACGUACCAACUGCACCACCCUCCAAAAUUGAUAGUCCAUGGUAUUGUUUAAUUUUCCUAAACAUUUAGUGAAAUUGCAUUUAGAAUUCCUCAGUGAGCUGCAUGAAAUUACUUACGUUUUGUUGUUUAGAGGAUAUGGACAUUCAAUCAAAUAGGCGCCAUGAUAUAUUUCAAUAAUAUUUAUAUAAUAAACUACGUAUUUAUUUAACAAUUUAAUAUAUCAUAAUAAUUGGAUGUGCUCGCACCAAAUCCAUCAUGAUAACACCUCCUUUACUUAGCUAACGAUUCUUGCUCCAUGGAAACAAAGGCUUUGAUCCUGUGCCUUGGGAACUGCGAACAAGUCAGUGGCGCGUUCUUGGUACAUUUCAUCAGGUCUAAGUUCGAUCUCUUCAACAAUGGGCCCCCCUCUUUAUAUUGCGAUCAUCAACCCCAUUAAGAUUUCACUUUAGUGUUAUCUCCCAUUUUCGCUAUAGGACUGACCCAUCUUGAACUUUGACCAUCCGUCGUCACGCUCGUAGGACCGUUUGGGGGCUCAUUCCCCACUCAAGCUCGCCGUAGUGGCGGGCGGCGUCGAGCAAGUCAGAGGCAGCCCCGGUGACCCUGCCCUAGUCGACCUUUUAAUUGCGUAUGUUUGUAUGUGUUUUAGCAAUGGGGACACAACAUAACAAACACUGAAAUUCCAGACAGAAGUAUAGAUUCUUUUUGAGUAAGUAAAACGCAAAUUAAUGAUGUGAAAGACUGAGAAGGCAAACUUAAUGCGAUUCUUUACGAUUCUUCCCGUAGAUUAGCUUGGAUCAAGGCUCAGGCACUGUAUAUGGUUGGCAAAAGUACACACAAAAUUGAUGACUGGCACUGGCAGCCACCACAUCCUGAGUCAAAAGACACAUUUUCAGCCUGUGUUUAGUACGUCUCUUUAGGCCUAA
rnacentral:lncRNA from 1 species